rnacentral:lncRNA from 1 species
AUUCACGCCUGGAAAACGCUCUUCUGAGAGGAUCUGUGGAGGUCAACCCAGGAGAGAGAAGACAGGACUGAAGCACUGAAAGGGUCCUGCCGUUAAGGGCGCAGGAUUGUAUAGAAUAUAUAAUAGCAGUAGCAGCUCUGUUUACGGAGCAUUAACCUUACGUGGAGUUAUUUCCUGCAUUUCCUCCUUUCGUCUUUACAAGGUAGCCGUUUGGCGUCGUGAGAGAUUGGGUCUCUCCACAUUGCCCCGGCUGCUCUCCAACCCCUGAGUUCAAGUGAUUCACCUCCCUUGGCCUCCCAAAGUACUGGGAUUACAGGCGUGAGCCACCGUGCCUGGCUGAGAAGAUGGAUUUAAGACAUAUUUUGGAGCGGAAAGUGACCAGAAGAGGUGUGCAGUUUCCAGGCCUGGCCCAUACAGACCUCCAACAGGUGCUCCCCUGUGCUGUUACUCCUUCUGCCAACUGGAAGCAGAUGGUGACCAGGCUCUGGAGAAGGCAAGGCCUGAAGAUGGGAGAUUCCUAAGUGGAGGAGAACUGUGCCUUACUGACCUAAAUAUCCACUCAGUAUUGUUAUGUGAGAAUAAAUAAACUUGUGUUGACCGUU